rnacentral:lncRNA from 1 species
GAGUAAGAAUUAACUUUGUUACUAGAAAAUUCAAAUGAGUAUAAGAACUUUUGUCUGAUUUCUAAUAAAAUUUGUUUUCUCAUAGUAUUGCUUGAAGUUUUUUACUAAUACUUCAUGGAUUAGAGUCUCCCAAAGAAGAAAUAAUAGUUCAUCUGUGUGGCCAAAAGAAUCAACAUUUCUUUCCAAAGUGUUUACAGCAUCAUCAAAGAGUGAUUAUACUUGUCCAUCUCUUAAUUUUAACUUGAAGAAACAUUUACCUUCAUUAUGCUCAAUAAUUAGAACAUACAUUUGGUCUGCAAAUGAGGGUCGAACAGCCCAUGGUGGCAGGAUUACCGGUCAGAAUGGAGUCAGGAGACAGAAACCAGGGGAAGCUUUAUUAUGUAUUUGUAAGAGAAAAUGUACUAAGAGCAAAGUCUACUAAGAUUUAAAAAAAUUAUAAGGAUACCUUAGGGGUAAAGGAGAGUACCCAAAGGACUGAUCAUUGGGAAGCCAGGUUUACCCUCUGAAGAUGGGAUUCAGAUAUCAUUGAAGACAACGUGACUUACAUACAGCUUCAAGGGAGACAUGCUCUUGGGAUUGACCUGGGACAGCGCAGCUCCAUAGUCCACAGGCUGAAGUUGGUGAGGAUGGAUCUCAGGCUGUGACUGGCAAGCAGGAAGAAUGCCUGCCAGAUUGUUAGGGGGGCACAGAGGAGAGCUAUAUAAGAGCUUUUCACAUCUGCCCCAUUUUCUCAGAGAAUGG